AAUGACCAUAAUCGAGUUAGCUUUCCACAGGAUUAAGCCCCACUAAAUUUGGAGUUACAAAGAGAGAUUAAUUACAGUUUUAGUGAAGGUCUGUCCAAUUACUAAUUUUGCAGAAAUCUACUUAUGACCUUUAAAUUCAACAUCGUCUACGAAACACAUCGUAACUCCAAAUUUGACGAAAUUUAAAUGACAACAAGGGUAAUUUCGUUA
rnacentral:lncRNA from 1 species